rnacentral:rRNA from 2 species
GACGUAGGGGGCCAGCGUUGCUCGGAAUUACUGGGCGUAAAGGGUUCGUAGGCGGUGCGGUAAGUCGGAAGUGAAAUCUCUGGGCUUAACUCAGAGGCUGCUUUCGAAACUGCCGUGCUAGAGUGCGGGAGAGGCGAGUGGAAUUGCAGGUGUAGCGGUGAAAUGCGUAGAUAUCUGCAGGAACACCCGUGGCGAAGGCGGCUCGCUGGACCGCAACUGACGCUGAGGAACGAAAGCUAGGGGAG